CUGCUGCCUCCCGUAGGAGUCUGGUCCGUGUCUCAGUACCAGUGUGGGGGACCUUCCUCUCAGAACCCCUACGCAUCGUCGCCUUGGUGGGCCGUUACCCCGCCAACUAGCUAAUGCGCCGCAUGCCCAUCCUCCGCCGGAAUCGCUUCCUUUUAACACCCGUGGGAUGCCCCACAGAUGUACCACGCGGUAUUAGUCCGGAUUUCUCCGGGUUAUCCCCCUGCGGAGGGCAGGUUGCAUACGUGUUACUCACCCGUGCGCCGGUCGCCGG
rnacentral:rRNA from 1 species